UGCCAGGCCCUGCGCAACAAGGAGGUUAUGAACCCCGUCAGGUUCGGAAGAAAGCAGCGGUAGUAACCGACUUGUGUGCCGCAGCAAGCCUGGCAUAG
rnacentral:SRP_RNA from 1 species